AGUUUCGUUGCUAAGCCUCAAACAUCGCAAUCGAAGCAGUGAUCUUUUUUCAGUUUGCACGUCGUUCUCCCCUCGUGCGCUCUACUGUCGUCAGCCUCUCCAACCAGCACCUACAUGCGUGACCAGCCAACCACCUUCAACUGAUUCACCUGCUGACCUUGCAAUACAUGAAAGAUUUCAUCAGGCAUAUGUAGCCUGAAAAUUGAAAGAGUCUUCUUUAAUUGUUCUACUCUAUCUUGAUGGAUGUGGUGCUAGAAUGGUUUGGUGGUUGAAUCAUGGAGAGGCUCAUUCACAUCGACUUUAUGUACCUGCAAAAUCAAUAUAUUUGGAGCAAAAGCAUAAAUAAGGAGCUGGAAAGGUGGCAAAAUCCCCCCCCCUUUGAUCCAGUCUGUCAUGUUUGCUUCCAAAGAAACACAUAUCAGAGAUCAAAAUGCAUCUCUCAACAAAUGGUUAUGGCUUCUACGAGAUGUCAUUGAUGAGGCAAAUGAUUUGCUCGAUGUGUUUGAGCACAAGCAACUUCAGAAGCAGUUGAACAUAAAGGAAAGACUUAUAAAAUUUGGUAAAUGUGCUAUCUAUAUUGAUUCCACAUUGAAGAAAGUGGAGGUGGUAGUGAAUAAACUUGAUGAAGUUUCAGUUGAUGUUUGUUUGUGUUUCCAACUCUUUUGAUGAUAAAAGAGUCAUUAAAGAUACGUUGGCAUCCCAUGAAGGGAAGAUGUAGGAUUUGGAGUCACUUAAUACACUUCAAGAGAGUCUUAAAGUCAAGGUGAUGUCCAAAAAAUUUUAGUCAUUCUGGAUGACAUUUGGGAGGAGUAGGAUAAAGUCAAAUGGGAGAGAAUGUGUUGGCACCUCUGGCCUAUGGAAGUUUGGGAAGCAAAAUUUUGAUAACAAGUCGAAUAGGCUCUAUUGCAAUGAUGAUAUCAAAGGUAAUUAAGAAGAAAUUGGAAAUAUUAAGAUUAUGAGGCUUGGAUGAAGUGAGUGUUUGCAACUCCUCAACUAUCAUACAUUUGUUAAUAUGGGGAAUCUUGAUGAUAAUAAGAAAAUAAGAGUCAUUGCUGGACAGAUAGUUAAAGAGUUCUAAGAAUCUCUGUUGGUAGCAAUGGUCAUCCGCGGUGUUUUAAAUUUUAGUUUUACUGAAUGAUAUUGGAUGAAAGUCUUAAACAAUAAUUUUGAAAUUAUAAAAUUGGAUCAUAAUUUUAUCAUACAUAUCUUAAGAUUAAGAUAUACAUUUUUGCCAAAACAUCUAUAGAAUUAUUUCACUUUUAUAGAUCAGUUGCUUGGAGUGGCACACUUUACUUCCUUUUUUGUAUUUCUUUUUCUCAAGUUUCUUACUCUUGUUCGUAUGCCAAAAGUAAAACAACUUUGUAGUAAAUUGUAUGGGAAUGAUAGAGAUUUUGUCUUUCAAACUCUAGAGAUGUUGUGUAUCAAAAAUUUGAAUGCACUGGAGAAUUGGUUUGAUGCGGCUAUAGGGGAAUAUUAUUGAAUGUUUAUGAUAGGAAAUACUUGAGUUCGCAAGUAACCUUAAGGGUAAUACUUGAGUUUGCUAGCAAACCUAUCACCAAUUGGUUAAAAUUAGCGAUGAUAAUGCAAAAUAUGGGUGAAAACAGCCCAAAACAAUAUAUUCUAGUAGGAAAAUCAAAGCGAAAUAAUAAAGAAAACAAGAUACAAGAGAUCCUCAAUUCUAGAGGAGGAUUGUCUCUCCCAAAUCUCUAGACAAGAGAGUCUAGAGCCAAGUCGCCAAGAAACCCUAAUUGAGCACAAAUAAAAAAAUAAUCAUUCUCUAAACAUCUUAUGCUCUUAAUACAAACACUUUCUUAUUCUAAUCUCCCUUCCCAGACCUAGCCACUCCCUCCUUUUCAAUUUGAAAUCCAUUGGGCUAGUUGGUGCCCACCAUGUGGUCGGGCAAGAGCUAGGGAGGCGGACAUGUUCUGCCUCCUAUAAACUUGAGCCGGUUGGACCGGUUCAGGGUGAACCGGCCUAACAGUUUCCAUGCUUGAGAGAACUAUGCCUAGAAAACUGAUCAAAUUUGCAAGAGUUGCCCGCUUGGCCUCCUAUGCUCAAGACAUUAAAUGCAAAUAACAUUGGAUGGAAAGCUUUAAACUGUUAUAGCAUCUCAGAGUCUGUUCCCCUUGAAGUUUUAAAAGUCUUUUGUUGUUCAAACAUCACAUCUCUUCCCCUAGCUGAUGAAAUUCCUGCACUCAAAUGAUUGGAAAUUAGAGAUUACCCCAAUUUGAUCUCACCCGAAGGACUACAAGAAGUGGAGACUACUGAGACUCGCCAGCUCAGUAUAAGUGAACUUGAUAUUAAUGAUCCAUCUGUUUUGCUAAUGACACCAUUAAGAACUCCAUCCAAAAGUUAACAAUUGAGGAUAAAAAAUGAGCUGGCUUAGUUUCCAAUUUAGGCAGAGCAGUGGUUUUUGCAAGUUAGCUCGUCUAUUUAUGAGUUGAACUUUAGAAGGAUCAAAUCCUUACAAUCUCUCCCUUAUUGGAAUGUCUUUCUUCACUUAAGGUUUUACAUUUACAAUAAGUUGCUGAACUCCAAAAGUUGCCGAACAUCCCUACCUCUUUGGAAUGAUUAGUACUUAUCCAACUCUAAUUAUUAUAGAUCCAACCUUCUUGCCUAUCUUUCUCCUAUUCGUCGCUUCAAAAACUUUUCAUUUCUGAAGUUUAUCCAUCUAGAAUCUCUUGGUAGCUUGGAUUGCCCACCUUCUUGCCUUUCUAGCCUUUCUUCUUUUCAUGAACUUCACAUUAAUUUUGUUCUUCGGAUCUGAACAUUACCUACCCUAGCUACUUUUGCGUGAACUAAAUUUAGGUCACCUUGCAAACGUGCAUUCCCUGCCUUCUAAUCUUCCAAGUAUUUUUUCUAUAAAAAAAACUAAGAAUCAAUAUGGUUCCAAAUAUUCGAGAAUUGUCAGACCUCCCUUCCUCUGUGUUUUUUGCAUCUAGAAUCUCUUGGUAGCCUGGAUUACCCGCCUUCUUGCCUUUCUAGCCUUUUCUUCUUUCCAUGAACUUCACAUUAAUUUUGCCCUCGGAUCCGAACAUUACCUUCCCUACCUCCUUUGCGUGAACUAAAUUUAGUCACCCUUCAAACUUGCAUUGCUUGCCUUCUAAUCUUCCUGGUCUUUUUUCUCUAAAAAAAAAAAAACUAAAAAUCAAUAUGGUUCCAAAGAUCCGAGAAUUGUCAAAUCUCCCUCCCUCUUUGUGUUUUCUUUACUAGAAAAUCUUCAUAGCCUAGAUUGCUUGCUUUCUUGCUUCCUAGCCUUUGUUCCCUCCAAGAAUUUUGUUUCUUUUAGUACCCCGAACACCAAAGUCACUCCAAUCUAAAGUUAACAACUUUAAAUUCUUCUUGUCACUUAAUUUUGCAGUGCAAGCGUCUUUGGUAUCAUUUAUGCUCUCAAGAAAUUUGAUAUGUAAUAGUUGAAUGAUUAUUCAUCUGCUCUUGAUCUCCAAUUCUAUAAUCAGUCUUAUUUUUAAAGCAAACUAAUUCCAGCUAUUGAAGAGAUUAGAUUUUUAACUCCACUAAUCCAACGAUACAUAUGUGUAGACAACAUCAGCAUACGCAGAUAAGAUUGAUUUCUCAUUUCCGUUGGAAAGUAAUUAUGAGGUGAGCAAUAUCUAUAAUAUAUUAAGAACUGUAAGUAAUGGAGACUAUAUAAAGAUCUGCAAAGUAAUAGUGGUCUUCAUUUCUAAAUAUGGAGAAUGUAUCAGAAUUUAAUUAUCUUAGGUAUUGUUUUAAAAAAUGGAGCAUCUAUGCAUGGCAAAAGUAUGCUUCUUAAUUCUUUAAAAAUUUUAGAAAGCACCUUAUCAAAAUCAUGAUUGUUUUGUCCAAAAUAUAAAUGAAGAGAACACAAAUAUUUAAAUUUAUUCAUCUUCCCGAGUAGUUUUAGAUUGCUGGUAUUAAUAUACAAGUGUCGAAUUAUUUCAGAAAUAUUUGAGGGCAAAUCUUCAUUAUCAAUAACUCUAAAGUAUUCAAAUGUAGAAAUAGAUCAUUCCAAUUCAUAUAAUAAAUCAUGCAUUUUGUAAUAUGGUAUAAUCUUAGUAUCAAUCUUUUAAAAGAAAGAUUUCUUAAUCAGAACAUUAAAAUACUUUUCUCAAAUAUCCUUCAUUGUUUCUCUUGGAUUAUGAGAUGACUAAAUAAUUCCCAAUGUGAUCCACAUAAUAAUUAACGUUUCUUGUUUGAAGUUGUGAUCUUGUGGGAAUAUGAAACAAAAAGUGAAACCAUUUUGUAGAUGCCUUGGCAAAAAUUUAUAGCUUAGUCUUAAGAUGUGCAUAAUAGCAUUCUGAUCUAAUUUUAUGCUUCAAAAAUUACUAUUUAAAAAUUUUAUCUAAUAUAUUUCAGUGAAGUUAGAAUUUAAAAUGCCACCGAUGACUCUUUGCUGCCAAUGGAGAUCCUAAGAGCUUUUAAUUAUCUAUCUAGCAAUUACUCUUAAUCCAGACCUCUCCCACUCCUUGGAAAAUAUGAUCAUCAACAAUUGUCGUCCAUAAUUGCAGAAAUGUUAUCAAAUGAUUUCAAGUAAUGACAGGCACAAGAUUGUUGACAUUCCUCAUUUUCAUAUUUCUAUAAUAUGGUAUAUUGUGAGGCAUUUUUCAUGCUCCAACUAUGACUUCUAGAAAGACAAUCUAAGCACUGCUCCAAUUUCAUCGUGCAUAAGACCUGAAACAACUUCUUUACUGAAGUUUUCAUACUUUUUGUGAGAUUUGCUUGUUGACACAUGGGAAUUGGAAAGAAACAAAAGGCCGAAGUGAAAUUAUUUAUAGUUCUCUUCUUUGGUUCUCUUGCUUUCUAGAAAUAGUCUAGUAGAAAAAGGUGUUAUGUGGUGAAGUCUUUUCAAUGGAGUUUAUCAUGUUGCCAUUUACUGUUUUUUAUGAUUCAUUGAUGAAAUUCUAUUUACAUCUAGUUUUGUUGAUUUUGCUUGUUUUCAUACUAGGUGUCAUUUUGAUUCUAGGACUACUCUAUUGCUUAGUUAACUAUUUCAAAGUUUGCAUUCAACAUUUUCCUUAAAUUUAUCGUGAUUUGUUUGCUGAGAUUUCUUAAAGAUCCUUCAAUGAAAAUCUUUGUGUUGCGAUAAUUUUUUUAGAACAUGUCACUGGGUUGAAUGAAUAUUAUGAUUGGGAGUUGGUAGAGAUUAUAUCAUUAAUACAUUAAAUGACAUUUUAAUCUUAUUCUAAUUAUCACAUGCGUUGGAUUUAUUUUCUUAGCUUCUUUUUUUAGAAUAUGAUGUUCUAGACUUCUUGAAAGUACUGUUUGUUGCGAUGCAUUGUUGGAUUCAAUUAUUGUCCCUAUUUUUUUGGAGUAUCGCUCGAGUAUGGGAUACUUUUGCUUAUCAUCCGAUCUGGCCUAUUGUGAUUAACAUUUUUUAUCAUCUUAUGGAAGCUGUUGAUUAAUGGUCAUUUAUCUUAUCAUUUUCUUGAUUUUUAGGAUUAUUACUAUUUCUUAUUGUAAUUAUUUUUGAGUUUAUUUAUAUGUUCACAACUUUAAUGGUUUGGAUUGAACUCUAGGUUCUUUUAUCUUUUGUAUAUUAUAAGGGUUUAAUAGAGUACAUGCUUUUAGUCUUCGAUCAUUAUUUUCUUAAAGUCUCAUUCAUACUCCAUUAAUUGUAACUUUGGUUAGACUUUUGAAAUAUCAUUUAUUUUUCCCUAUCUCUCAUAAUGGUUUAUUGAUUUGAAUCAUUAUUUUGGAUUUUUUUCUUGUUUCACAAAUUUACACUAAGUUGUAAUCCUCUUUGUGGAUGCUAGGAAUCACUAAAUCAUUUAAUGUUUUAUAUUUCUUUAGGUAUGUCAUUUAAUGUUUUAUAUUGCUUUAGGCCAUACGAUGCAGAACUAUGCAUUAGUAGAAGUUGUUCAUAUUUUACUUAAAAGUGUGACUUGUGAUUCUUCUUUUUUUCUAAUCAUUCUUUUUAUUUAAAAAAGAUCUUCACCGUUUGAUUAGCGCCUUUUCAAAUCCUAUUCUUAUGCUUAGCUAUUAAGUUUGCUAAUUCUUAUUCGGCUUCAUGUUAAGAAUAGUUUUGAAAGAGUAGAAGUUUCUUAGCAAGUUGUUCUUGUCGGAUUGUAGUCAAAACGGGAGCCCCUCCAUGUGCUUCCCGUGAAGAGGAGUUUUGAAAGAGUUGCUAAAAAAGCUUUACGCGAUAUUCUAUGGUUUAGGGAGUUUGCUGCGAAUUCACAAUGUUGUUUCUAUCGGAUCGGAAGUCAUGACGGGAGUUCGCUGCGAAGUGACGAAGGUAAUUGUUGUAGUUCAGCACCACCAUUUGAACAAAGGACUGAUCAUUGAAAUUACUCUCUCAUCUAUUGCCAUUUCAUGCGUAGAUCUAUCUAUCAUUUUCUUCUGGAUCAUCUGGCCAAAGAAUCACCUGGUUCAAUGCUUCAAAGACAUCCAAACCUUGUCUGAGCUUGAAUUUGUAGAAACAGUUUUUAACAGUAUGCUACAUGUAUAUUACAUUUGGUGUAGAUUAUGCUACUAAAGGACUUCCUUGGGUCCAAUUUUUAGCUAGUUUAAUUCAAUACAGAUGAUGAACAAGAAAACAUUUUUUGCAAAGAUCGAGUACUCAUCUUUGGAAUUGGCCACCAAAAAUUUUAGUAAGAAUAAUAUUUUGGAAGAAGGGAGGCUUGGCCAUAUUUAUCAAUCUUGCUUUGAUGGAGUUCUUGCAGCAGUAAUGAAGUUAGAUGGCUGUGGUCAGGACUAUGAGAGAAUAUUUGAUAUAAAUUCUAUCUCUCCAUUUUCUUAACUAUCUAUAUCAGUUGACUAGUUUACGUUUGAACUACUAAUUCAACUUGCAUUUGUAGAAUGAAUUGGAUUUUUUAGUAAGAAUCGAAAACCCAAAUAUUGUCUCACUUUUGGGUUAUUGCAUGCAUGGGGAAACCACAUUCCUUGUCUAUAAGUUGCUGCAUAAUGGUUCUUUGGAAAAAAAUUGCAGGAACUUUCUUUUUGUUGUCUUGGAAUAAAAAUAAAAAUAGUAGAUUUUUAGCUUGAAGCAAAUUCUCAUGGACCAGCUUUAACUUGGCAUUUGCGAAUGAAAAUUACACUCGAGACAACAAGAGGACUUGAAGAUCUUAAUGAGCACUGCUACCCUCCUGUGAUUCAUUGUGAUUCAUUGAGAUUUGAAGCAUGGUUCAAGCUUUUCAAAUAUAGUACAAUGGGGUUUUUAGAUGAAGAAAGCAAC